rnacentral:rRNA from 1 species
AUGCUGCGACGUGCUCGUGGCGCUUCAUUGGAUUCUCCUGCGAUGUUCAGGUCGUGGCGCGCGGAGGAGGCGCUCGAGCGGAAGGAACAGAUUCGUAGAAAAGGAAGGGAAAUAUGUUCGGAACAUGUGAAGCACCAGACACAUCCCAUCACUGAAGUCAGAAGGCAUCAUAAGCUUGCUUCUGAUGAGGCGAACCAUCUUGAUGCCUAUUCGGAAUGUAGAUCGGUGAUUGGAGAUGGGGAGUGUUUCUACAGGAGUUUCAUAUUUUCGUACCUUGAGCAAGUUAUUGAUAGGCAGGACACACAUGAGGAACACCGUCUCCUUCAGGCUGUUGAUAUGGUGAAUCUGCACUUUGCAGCUCUUCGAUGGAACGAGUCUGAGUUUCGAUGGAACGAGUCUGAGUUUUCCAGGAGCAGCAGAGCAUUUAAGAAUCUGAUCGAGAAAGUAAUGAGAUGGAAGAGUCAUGGCAGGUGGAAGGGCAUGGAAUCAACUAGCAGCUACCGUAAAGAGGAACUUCUCGAGUUCUUCAGCGAGUACGAUACGACGCAAGACAGUGAGAAAAACACCCUUGAAGUCAUAUUUCCUUUUGUUCUCAUAUUAGUAGUAGCUGUCGAGAUAUGCUGGCACGACGAGGUGUAUGAACCGCUUAUACCAGGGCUCAGUGGAAAUUACAAUCUUCAAGAUUGGUGCUUUCAGCGCGUCACUCCAGCUCGUCGGUUCACGGAUCAUGUCAUGAUGGUGGCCUUGGCCAGAGCGCUUGAGAUACCCCUCAGAGUGGAGCGAGUCCGAGGAGGAUAUGAUCCAGAUAUCUACACUGUCCCCGGAGUUCCCCGUCCGAGAGUGACCCUGCUGUACUCGGCAAACCAUUACGAAAUCAUCUACCCGCGUGUUCCUCCAGCUGAGAGUUCAAGUCAUCAGGCUUCCCAGAUAGAACAUGCUGCUGAUGAGGGUUCAAGCCAACAGACUUCCCAGAGAGAACAUCCUGGCGAUGAGAGUUCAAGUGAAUAG